ensembl:snRNA U6 U6 spliceosomal RNA
GUGCUCGCUUUGGCAGCACAAGCACUAAAAUUGGAAUAAUACAUAAACGAUUAGCAUGGUCCCUGUGAAGGAUGAUGACAAAACCCAUGCAGUGCUCCUAUUUGAA